ACUCCUACGGGAGGCAGCAGUGGGGAAUUUUGGACAAUGGGCGAAAGCCUGAUCCAGCCAUUCCGCGUGAGUGAAGAAGGCCUUCGGGUUGUAAAGCUCUUUCGCAAGGAAAGAAAACUUAUCUCCUAAUACGAGGUGAGGUUGACGGUACCUUGAUAAGAAGCACCGGCUAACUACGUGCCAGCAGCCGCGGUAAUACGUAGGGUGCGAGCGUUAAUCGGAAUUACUGGGCGUAAAGCGUGCGCAGGCGGUUUUGUAAGUCAGAUGUGAAAUCCCCGGGCUCAACCUGGGAACUGCGUUUGAAACUACAAGGCUAGAGUGUAGAAGAGGGGGGUAGAAUUCCACGUGUAGCAGUGAAAUGCGUAGAGAUGUGGAGGAAUACCGAUGGCGAAGGCAGCCCCCUGGGCUAACACUGACGCUCAUGCACGAAAGCGUGGGGAGCAAACAGGAUUAGAUACCCUGGUAGUCCACGCCCUAAACGAUGUCUACUAGUUGUUGGAGGAGUAAAAUCCUUUAGUAACGCAGCUAACGCGUGAAGUAGACCGCCUGGGGAGU
rnacentral:rRNA from 1 species